rnacentral:rRNA from 1 species
GGACCCUCGGACUAUGUCGUGCACUCUCGUCACCUUGGCACUGAGAUCCCCAGGUCAUCAUAAUGCGACCCCAGGUCAGGCGAGACUACCCGCUGAGUUUAAGCAUAUCAAUAAGCGGAGGAAAAGAAACUUACCAGGAUUCCCCUAGUAACGGCGAGCGAACCGGGAAAAGCCCAGA